GCGUGGAUGAUGAAGGCCCUUGUGGUUGUAAAAUCCUUUCGUCGGUGAAGAUAAUGACUGUAGCCGAAGAAGAAGCCCCGGCUAACUCCGUGCCAGCAGCCGCGGUAAUACGGAGGGGGCUAGCGUUGUUCGGAAUUACUGGGCGUAAAGCGGGUGUAGGCGGAUAGGCAAGUCGGGGGUGAAAUCCCAGGGCUCAACCUUGGAAUUGCCCUCGAUACUACCUGUCUGGAGUCUGGGAGAGGUGAGCGGAAUUCCGAGUGUAGAGGUGAAAUUCGU
rnacentral:rRNA from 1 species